UUGCACUCAUUUCAGCAGCAUCUACACUAAAAUUGGAAUGGUGCGGAGAAGAUUAGCGUGGUCCUUGUGCAAGGAUGACAGGCAAAUCCAUGAAGCAUCCCAUAUUGUC
rfam:Mustela putorius furo unplaced genomic scaffold scaffold00054, whole genome shotgun sequence.